GACAGAGGGUGCAAACGUUGUUCGGAAUUACUGGGCGUAAAGGGCGCGUAGGCGGUCUUGCAAGUCCCGUGUGAAAUCCCUCGGCUCAACUGAGGAACUGCACGGGAAACUGCUUGGCUUGAGUUCGGGAGAGGGAAGCGGAAUUCCGGGUGUAGCGGUGAAAUGCGUAGAUAUCCGGAGGAACACCGGUGGCGAAGGCGGCUUCCUGGACCGACACUGACGCUGAGGCGCGAAAGCUAAGGGAGCAAACGGG
rnacentral:rRNA from 1 species